rnacentral:lncRNA from 1 species
AAUUCACAUAACCUUUUAUCCAUUUUUAUUUAGUCACCAUCAUCAAGUCACGCACAAACAUGCAAACCAGUAGUUCAUGCCAACAAGACAACACACAACAUCGGGUUCUCAGUCAUUCAGUCCAUAAUCAAUAAAACAGUGAUACAUGCACACGAAACUAUGAAAUGAAAACAUCAGACAUCAUACUGCAUUUGAAACUGUAAAAUAGAACAAACAACAACUGACCGACAAAUACACCAGACUUAGGCUCCAUUAGCAACCU